rnacentral:rRNA from 1 species
CCUACGGGAGGCAGCAGUGGGGAAUAUUGGUCAAUGGGCGCUAGCCUGACCCAGCAAAGUAGCGUGAAGGAUGAAUGCCCUAUGGGUGUUAAACUUCUUUGAUAUGGGAAUAUAGUACAGGAUGUAUGCUGCUUUACAUGUGCCUUAUGAAUAAGUAUCAGCUAACUCCGUGCCAGCAGCCGCGGUAAUACGUAGGAUCCGAGCGUUAUCCGGAUUUAUUGGGUGUAAAGGAAGCGUAGGCGGGUUGUUAAGUCAGUUGUGAAAGUUUGCGGCUUAACCGUAAAAUUGCAGUUGAUACUUGUAUCCUUGAGUACAGUUGAGGCAGGCGGAAUUCGUGGUGUAGCGGUGAAAUGCUUAGAUAUCACGAAGAACUCCGAUGGCGAAGGCAGUCUACUAAACUGCCACUGACAGUGAUGCGCGAAAGUGUGGGGAUCAAACAGGAUUAGAUACCCUUGUAGUC